UACGUAGGGACCAAGCGUUGUUCGGAUUUACUGGGCGUAAAGAGCGCGCAGGCGGUCGUGCAAGUCGCGUGUGAAAGCCCCCGGCUCAACUGGGGAGGGUCACGCGAUACUGCUCGACUCGAAGGCAGGAGAGGGAAGUGGAAUUCUCGGUGUAGAGGUGAAAUUCGUAGAUAUCGAGAGGAACACCGGUGGCGAAGGCGGCCAACUGGACGAGUACUGACGCUGAGGCUCGAAAGCGUGGGGAGCAAACAGG
rnacentral:rRNA from 1 species